GAACGAGCUGGCAUUGAGGCCCAGAUCUGAGUGCUAAGAUCCUGGGCACCUGGGUAGUACUGGGCAGGUGUGGCUGCAGAGAGCAGUGAUGUUAGAACCCAAGCCACUCUAAGGUGGCUUUGGCUUCUGUGGGCUUUUACCCAGGAGAUGGGGGUUUCGAGGUUGCCUUUCCCUCUGCCCACACCCUCCUACAUUGAUCCUGUUCCCCAGGAGCCUCAGCCAUCUCCCUACUUGUAUGACCCUGUUGUUUAUAAGUCGGGUAGGGACUGAGAUGACUGAACAUGGUCAGAUCCUGGGCCUGGAUCCUGGCAGCACAACUUCCCCACCCUAGGGACCUCUGGAUGGCUUUUUGUGCUGUUGAGCAUGGGUGGUGUCAGACUGACAGCAGCCCUAGGCCCCACCCCUGCAAUACCCUGUUUCCUAGCUGGUGUUUUGCAGUGUGUUGAGUGCCAUGGCAACAGCUGAUAUUCAGCUCCAUCUGACCCAGUUGGAACAGGUGCUCCAGGUGACUCCUGCGGCUGUUCCUUAGCCUUAUCUUCCAACACAGCCUCAGGAGCAGCAUCCAGGCUCCGAGUGCCCAGAUUGUGCUGGGCAUAGUGCUGAGUGUUUUGAGCAGGGUAUCAGCCGUCUGGAGAGGCAAUGAGGCCAGAAUGGUAAAACCACACCCUAGAGAUUACCAGGUCGUAAAUGGCGCUGGGGAACAUCUCUCAUAGUGGGGUUCUUCGAUUGUAUGCUUGCCCAUGCCAGGGACUUUGAGCUACUCAGAUACCUGACCAUGUGUGGGUGAGGACACUGAGACAAGAAGAUGAAGUGACUGGACCCAUGUCACCGAGCCAGGGAGUAGCAAAGAUAGGACUUGAUUAGCAGCAGGUCCAAUUCAAAGCCCUGCCUUGGUGUUAAGUGUUAGAAGCAACUACAAAUCCAUGAGACAUUCUAGACUCUACAAAGGCUUCUUUCAGUGGGUUGGGUGCUACACAGAGCUGGACAGUUUUGAGGCCCUGAACUGGGUUUUGUAAAUAUGGAGUCUCCAUGACUGUAAGGUGAGGGUGGGACGAAAGGAAUCACUGCGUAUUUGUGGUCAGGCAUAGGCAAUUUGUUAUGUGUCCUUGCCUGAGCCCUCCCAGGAGGAUAAUCCAACUGGUACCUGGGAGAGUUUUCAGGUUUAGAGGGUGUCCAGGAAGAUACAGAGGUCCCAUCCAAAUAUGGUGAUUCUGGCAGAAGUUAAUAUGCCAAAGUAGCCUUCAGGUCAGAAGAAUGUCAAAUGUCCCAGGGCCCUGCCACUCACUGGCAUUGGUCCCUUGGCUUGCCACAUGGAUGUGGUAGCUGUGUCGGGAGAGGAGUGCAAGGAAACACCGACUUGCCUCACAGGGUGGAGAAGAGAGAGGAAAGAUACUGUUUCCUUAGCUAAUGGAUGGGGAAACCAAAGUCUGGGGCAGAAAAGUGACUUGCCAGAGUUACUUCAUAGGAGGAAUAAAUGACACAGUUGGCCAGACUGUAGUCUAGCUAGCUCUCACCUCUGUCUUCCUCUUUGCACUGAGAAAGUGGGCGGGGCCAGGAGGAGAAGAAAGCUCUCUUUCAAGGCCACCUCCUGCUCUGUACUUGGGUGCUAGGUUGUCUGAGAAGCUGUGACUUGGAGCGGGCCUUCCCUCCACCCUUGUCCUUCUUGGUUAGCGUUGAGUCCUCAGUUGGGAUUUUAUUUUUGUAAAUAGAGCCUGGCAGCUUAUCACACAGGCACUGCCUGCUGUCUACGAUACAGGCAUAUGCCCAUCAUACAGGAGUACUCAAAGGGGCUUUUGGGAUCUUGGGUUAGCUCUGCAUGUGGAGGUCUUGUGCCCAAGCCCAGACCCUGGCCCUGGACACAGGUAGGCUUGAUUGUUUCUUACCUAAACCACGUUUUUGGCCAGGGCUCCAUCACUCAGUCUCAUUCUCCCCUAUGAAAGAAGCUGUAGAACGUCUCUAGGUCUCCAGCCGUGCAAGGUAGACCCUGGGAUAGCUUGGUAUGGGCUCUGAGAAAGCAGAAUGGAGAUUCCUGAUGGGGCAGCACUGUGAAGAUACAAGAGAACUCCCAAAUUGGGGAAGGCAUUCAUUUAUUGUCCUCAGAACUGGGUCGCUGUGGGUUGAACAAAUUGAAAAGGUUGGGAGUUAGUAAACAUAGAUCCUUUCUUCCUCCUUGACUGAGACUCCCUUUUGACUGGCUUAUAGAGUGAGCAGGACUAGGCAGACCUGUCCCUUGGAGCUCCCAGUUAGGUAGUGACAGUAUGCCUGGUAAGCAAGCUAAUCUGGGGCAGGUCCUUGUGGAUCCUAGUGGACUCUGGCAGACCAACUGAUGAAAUGUUUUUGUUCAUACAUCUGUCCAUCUUUGUUUUCUCUAGCUUCUAAUUCCUUUCCCCCCUUGCCCUAAGCUUACCGUCACCAUAGGAGCACUUGAAGCACUUCUAAGGGAGUCUUAGAAGCUGAGGGGUUGAGCUGAAGACGGGAGAGCCUGUAGAGAAGCCCCUGGUCUGAAGGCAGGUCUGCCUAGGCAAGAUGGGGUAGGGUGUGAAAGGAGCUGAGGGGCCAGAGAAAACAAAAAUGGAAGGUUGCCUGACUGGAACUGCUUUAAUCCUACAGGGGCCCAGGGAGCAAGGAAACAGUGUGACACAUCAUUUACCCAUUAAGGUGAUGGUUCUUGGGUGCUGGUAAGAGACAGCAGGCAGUGCAGACCUAUUCCGGCAGAGAGGUAGCACACAGAAAGGGGACAGACUAGAGAGGAUAGCAGGCAGAGUGGGCAGGAGGGCUCCCCAUCCUAAAGUCACAGCAUCAUACUUUGAAGGAGGGGCUAGGAGAUAGGCAUUCAAAGGGUGCAUAGUGGUCAGUGAUGUCCUGGAAACUAGGGCUCAUGCGAAAUUCCAAGUUUUCAGUUUCCUUUAAGUGGAAAAAUCAGACAACAGUACUGUUAGGCGACAUUCAACACAAGGGACUUUGAAAUUGCCUCCUCCUCGCCUGUGCUUUGAGGGCUCUUCCCCCUCCCACAGCAUGCUCUUAGAUCCUGGGCAUUUUCUGAGUGUCUCUUCUUGUCAAUUUGGUUCCUGAGGCCCCUGCAGAAGGUCUUCCCUGUGCAGGCACAGUGGCCGGGGAGCCUGUGGUAAGAACCCACCUGUCAGGAGGACAUGGGGAGGAGUGGGCCUUAGAAGUCAGUGGGACCAUGGUACUGGGUUACCUGGCCCCCUUUGAAGUCAGAUCAUGUUGCUGGUGGCCUUGGUAAGAAGCUUCCCAACCGGUUUCAUGCCUUUAGUGGCUGCUGCUUGAACCUGGUCUUUGCUUUCAAUUGGCUACACUGUUGGCGUGUGCCAGCCUGGCUGUGCCUUCGCCUGCCGGGUAGCUUAGCAGUAGCCCUGACCUGAGGUGAUCUGGCUCUAUGGAGUCAAGGCCCCUCAGGCCUGCUCUUUGCUUGGAAAUCCUGGUUGGCUGGGGCAUCUUGGCAGCAAUAACAUUGUUGCCUGUAGGUCCUGUUUACCUGAAUGUGGCUGGGAGGCCCCUGAGUGACCUGGAAACCCUGACUAGCUUUCAAGAGGCCCUGCCUGUGCAUCAGGGUUUCAGCUAGUAAGUCUGCCUCUGGGUCUUAGGACCUGAGGGACUUGGUAUGUGGAAUAUAAGGAACUGGGAAGUAAGCCAGUUUGAAAAGGAACCACGGAGAAGUGUGAGCAAGGGAGAGACACUGGUGAGAGACCUGGAGCUCAGGUAUGGUGAGAGGGCACAUAGGCCAGCUACGCUUUAUCUGCCUCUCCUGGCUAGUGCUUUGAAUUGUGGGGACAUUAGAUUUGCCCCAGGUCCUAGUGAUAUUCUGGGCCUGCUGGCUCUCCAAAGAUCAGACUGCAUUUUUGUAGGCUUGAAGCUCCCAACCUGUACCUAGUGUGAUGAGGGUUGUGGUUGCAAACUUGUGGUCUAUUUGCUUUGAGUUGAUUGGCACCCGGGGCUUAGAAGAAAAAGCUCUUGAAUAUAGACCUGAAACUGCUUUUACCCCGUUUUGCUCAGUUGACUGGCAGCCCUCAGCUCUGUAGCCACCUUGUUUCAGGGGUGUGCAGAAGGAGCGCUGCCGAGAGGGAAUGACUCUCCGCUGGUCCACCCCAGCCUGCUGGUCACUGCCUCUGAUUUCAACAAGGGACUUAAACCCCAGCCUCUUCACCUCCCUAAUGACAGGACUGCAGUUGGAGGAUGUAGUAAUGGUGCUUGUUGGAGUGCCAGCCUGGCUCCUGGUCCAUAGUGGGAACACUGUGUUAUACUGUGUAUUCCCUCUGGGCCAAGUGGUUUGCUCUUAGUGUCUGCGAUUCCCCUGGGGGUCCAGACCACUGUGGUGCUGAUGAGAAAGGGUACCUGCUGCUCAGGCUUGCUCUUUUGCCUUUAGCAAGUAUGGGAGAGAGUAAGGAGUACCCUGGUGUCUGACCUGAGAGGUUUGCUGCUGGGGCCACAUACCUUCUCUUCCCUAUUGGCUUAGUCCUGCUCUGCUGAAACUCUCUGCUCAGGUUCCCUGGCAGACAAGCAGACAGCCCCUUACAGAGGUGCAGGCACUGGUGUAUAAGUCUCCUGGUAGGGACAGAUGAGAGAACCCAAGGUCUUUCAGUGGUCCACAUCCUGCCCCUUGUUUUUCUGGUUACUCUGCUUUCUCUCAACCCCCUUACCCAGCUUUUUCAGGUGGAACUACUGCUCAGCCCAAUGACCAUUUCUAGGAAGUCCCCCACCCCCAGUCCUGUGGCCUUGUUACCUGCUGUAGCCCUUCAUUUCAAAGUAUUAUAGUCCCUAUUAGUUGUAUCCAGCUCCUUCCCAGACUAUGGCUCUUCAAGGCUAAAAAGUAUCCAAUGCAUCUUAGCCCUUGGACUUCCUGCUGUGUGUUGGCAUUGCCCCAGCCUGGGACUUCUCUCUCCUGGCUCUGAACCAAUGUGGUUGUUGGUGUUGACUAUGUGGUGGCUACUGCCAGCUGUUAAGUCCAAUCCCACCCUCCACCCAGUGCCUGAAGUAUCAGUCUGUGCCAGGAGGAACCCUUAUCCAUGUACUAGGCAGCUGGGUACCACUGUGGACUUAAAGACUGCAAUUGAGAGGCAGCCAAGGGCCCACUAGCUGAGUUGAGUGUAUCACUUGCAGAUGAUAUCAAUGUCUGCACAGGGUUGGGAGGAAGAGUGAACUCAGGCACUACCAUUGGAUCUUGCAGCUGUUGAAUUGCUUUGGACUAUAGCCAGGGGCUUUAUCUCUGUAGACUGUUUCUUCUUCUAAUGGGUACUCACUUGAGGCAGCAGCAGAUCAAGAAGGGCAAGAUCAAGGUUACCUGCUCAGCAUACAACCAGGCCCAGGCAGCUACCAUAGACUAAACCACCUGCCAAGACGAAGUAUACAACCUGGUGUCAGGAGAACAGAGGCCGUACCCUGUUCGCAUGUGAAGUGCUCUCUUCUCCCACCGCUUCUUGGUUGCAGGGCUGGUCUCUGCAGAUGUGUGCAGGCGCACCUGUGCCUUCUACUUUCCUGGUGUUCUGUGACAGUUUUCUGGUCACCUUAUAUGUGUGGGUCCGUGGAACUAUGGGAUCCCCCUGUCUUGACCUCUCCUAGUCAGCGCUGGACAGGCCUUGAGGAAGUGAUGCAGAUUUGGAGUGGGUAGGUAGAGCUCGGUUGUGGGAGAAGAGCAGGAAAGAACCAUUGGUUUGGGAGGGUCUUAGAGAGGGGAAGUGCUUGGGGGAUGGACCUUACAAUGUGCUGAGAAACCUAGGGUGGGUUUGCAUCAGUCAGACUUGGAUUUUACUUAAACUUAGUUUACUACUAUUUUUACGCAUAUGAGUAUUUUGCCUUCAUGUAAAUCAGUACACUGAAGUGGAAACUUAAGGGUUCUUUGGAAAGUUAGUUGUAUCAGGUGGUGCUUUGCUGGGGCAAAUGUGUGAGUGUUCAGCUGAGGAGGACACAGGUGAAAGGCUAAGGCAGACACUCAAAGGAACAUUUCGUUGAGGCAGACACAGGAGAAAGGAUGUUCUGCUAAAGCAAGCACAUGAAAGGACAUGCAAUGAAGGAUUCUUUGCUAACAACACGCAUGUAUCGGUCCUCUUUACAAUGUAUAGUUGAGCUGCAUUCGUCAGGACUCCAUAGAGAGAAAUGCACCAAAAAAUUUGUGGUGGUGUGCUGCAAAGUGUCUUGCCCCUUCCAUGGACCCAGGCUGAUAGGCAGAGUGAUGUCUGCUGAGACAGACACACAUGCUGAGGCAAGAACGGUGGAGGACACGUGAUGUUUGGAGGGAUAUAAAUAGGACUCGACAGACAAUGGCUGUGGCUGAGCUAGGCUUGGUUAUAGAGCUAACUGUGCAACGCUUAUUGAUCUCGCGUCUUCACUCAUCUUUGCUUUGCUGGGAGGCAUAGCUAAGAACUUCUCCUGGCAUCCCCCUGGAGCCCUUCUGCUGACUUGUUCCGAGGCUGAGGCCUGGCUGUCUCUGCUAGUGCCACUGUUACUGGUUCAUGUCUACUAUCCUGACUCUACCGAACUAGACUGUGGUGAAUCUGUGAGGUAUUUGCUAGUAGAUUGAGCUGGUACUGUGGACCUGUGAGCUGAACUGCCGAUAUCCAGACAACACAGAUGGGAGUUGCUCCAAAGAACCAUUUUUUUUUUUUUUUCGGAGCUGGGGACCGAACCCAGGGCCUUGCGCUUCCUAGGCAAGCGCUCUGCCACUGAGCCAAAUCCUCAACCCCCAAAGAACCAUUUGUAAAUAGGUCCAUGUCCCCCAUAUCCUUUCUUUUCCACUACCUCUGGUAGGUGGUGGGCUAAAAGGGAGGUUAAAGCAUUUAAGAACCAAAAUUAAAAGUAGGAGUUGAAAAAUUGAAGUUACAGUACACAAUGUGUAUACAGUGCCCACGUAGACCAAAAAAGGGUGUCAGAUCCCCUGAAACUGUAGUUACAGAUGGUUGUUAGUCUCCACAUGGAUCCUGGGAAUUGAACUCUGGUCCUUUGGAAGAACACCCAAUGCUCUUAACUGUUGAGCCAUUUUUCUAGCCCUCAGACUUGUACUUUAGAACUACUAAAAGUAGCACUGGGGUAGACUGCUUAGGGCUGCCAGUUAUAGGAGGGCAUUUGUGUUAGGCCAAGAAGGGUAUCUUCCCAGCCACUGACAUGGACCUUCUGGAGACAUUCUGCAACAGGUAAAGUAAAUUGUGCUAUAGACAAAAGGUCCAAGAUAGAUGUGGUGGUUUGACUAUGCCUGAAUCAGGGUGUGGCCUUGUUGGAGAGAGUGUGUCAUUGUGGGGAUGGAAAGUAAGACCCUCUUCCUAACCACAAGAGAGCUAGUCUUCUGCUAGCAGCCUUCAGAUGAAAGUGUAGAACCCUCAGGUCCUCCAGCACCAUGCCUGCCUGGAUGCUGCCAUGUUCCCAGGGACUGGAUCUCUGAAACUGUAAGCCAGCCCUGAUUAAAUGUUGUUAUAAGAGUUGCCUUGGUCAUGAUGUCUGUUCACAACAAUAAAACCCUAAUGGUUCAUGGUAACACUUAUGUAGAGUUCUAGACAAGAAGAGUUAAGAAAAGAUGGUUAUAUUUGUAGGAGUUGGGCCACGUAUGUAAGGGCCUUUUAGGCCUGCAGAAUUCUGCUUGGGCUUAGUUACACAAUAUGUUUUUUCUUGAGGACUUGUAAAUUGCACACUUCUGCUGCAGAAACAGGCCUUGAGUUGUUCAUACCUCUGGGCUCUAGGUGGGCACCAAAGCUUUCAAGACAAACACGAGAGUGCCUGAAGUUGAUCUUUGGGGCUUUUCCUGGGUCUUUCUGGUGAGCCAGCCUGAGCCAUUCCAACCCGAUGAGCAUUGCUCUUGUUUACGAGGCAGUGGUUCAUCUUGGCAAUUGCAGGCAGUCUUGGUCUGGGGAUUUUCCUUCUAUCAGUUACAACCUCAGCUGAGUAGGGCUUUCUGGGCUUUGGAUGGAGUUUAGCCGUUUGAAAGCUUUGUGGGCUCCUGAGGUUACCACCAGACCACUGGAUGUCAGAUCAUUGCCUGUGAUGGGAUAAUGAAUUCUUCAUGGUACCUGGAUGCCAUGCUGAACCUGCUAUUUACCCAUGAUAGCCUAUAGCUCAGAGCACAUGCUCAGUAAAAGCUGGCCUGGCUAGUCUCCAUCCAGAGCAGUAGCUGGAGGGGACCUGGAGCUGGAAGCAUAAAAGGAACGGUUCCUAUUUCUUCCUUUCUCCCUUCAGUUGCUGUUCUCUCUUCCUGACGCUCUCCUAUUGAAACACGUGUAAUUAGAACUGAGCCACUCACUGCCCUGGCCUUGAUACUUGUGGUCUCUCCCUGAGACCUGUAAGCAGGCAGAGACCAUUACACAGACACAGACACAUACACAGAUACGUACACAGACGUGCAGAGCAUACAGGGGAUGGGGUUUUGCUACUAAUUACACCAACUCCAAAACCUCACCUUUUCUUUUUCUGGUUUUGCUUGCUUGCUUGCUUUUCUUUUUUACUUUUUCUUUUCUUUUCCUUUUUGAGAAAGGGUUUCUUUCUGUAGCCUUAGCUAUCCCAGAACUCUGUAUGUAGACUAGGCUGACCUCAAACUCACAGAGAUCCACCUGCCUCUGCCUCCCAGUGCUGGAAUCAAAGGUGUUGUGCCACCAAGUUCCUUCACCUUUUGUUGUUGGCUUUGAGUCAAGGUCUCACUAUGUAGUCCUGAUGCCUAGAACUCCCUAUAUAGACCAGGCUGGCCUGGAUCUCACAAAGAUCUGUCUGCCUCUGUCUCUUAAGAGCUGGGAUAAGUGAUUUGCACCAUUACACCUGGCUCUAAACCCUGCCUUUGGGAUGAACCUUUGACUGGUGUGCCCCACUAAGUGCCUUUGCCAAAGGGAUAAUGGAAAAAUCGGACUGUGUUGUGAUGCUGACCCUGCCCAUAUUGGAUGUAGGCAAGACAGCCUUUCUCUUUGGGCAGCAGUGGGGUGAAAUGUUUGGGGCUUUGGGUUACAGAAGGCAUCCUCUGUAGCAGCCAUUAUCACAGACCUAUCACAUGACGAUGUUGAACAAAAAGGCCCAAGGCAAGGUCCACGAUGGCACUUGAGUAGAAUUGAAAGGCAUUGUGGUUCAAGAGGGAUGAGAUUAUCCUUAUGUGGGGCCUGUGUCUGAACAGGGCCCACUCAGCCGGACUCCUUGUAAGUGCUCAGUAGAUAUGCGUGGUUACUAGCAGUGGCAAUGGUUGGCCCAGGAUUGGUCCUGAGUCUGCAGAGUUUCAGGUGUCUAUGGAGGAGGUGGAGCCCCAUGAGUCAGGGCCUCAUGGUGGUGUCUGACCCUGAGCCCUCUGUCCUGUGAUUGGAAUCUUGGGUAGCUGCUUAGCACAACUGGGCAAACCGGUCUGAGUCAGUGCCAGGCUGUGAAGAGAGGUGACUCUGGCUAAAUGACUCCUGAUUAUCUUGUCACCUUAAGUUUAAAGGGCCAUGGGGAAUCCUAUGUGCAGUAGGAACACCUGGGUAGCAGAUACAGUAACAAUGAUGGUCCCCGACUACACAGACUCUAGAGAACAAGGUGCAGCCACAUCUGGGAAGCCACUUCCUGGAAGUAGUAUGAGAAGGCUUGGUUUUACGGAAAUCGACUACAGAGAUCACUCAUUCAGUUGUUAGGUGUUCAGCACCAUCUUUGACGACAGGAGACAACUGUUAGUGUAAGGACACCCUGCCUCUACAUGGCUCUGGGAAACAAGGGCCUUGCUUGAUUCCAACCACACCUAUAAAUCCAGUCCUGUCUGCACAGAUAGGGAAGGCCCUUAGUGUGGGCCUGCGUGAAGGUGUCCCCAUGACUGCAGUCCAGUUGUUUCAGGAACAGGCCUCAGGGACAGGAAUCUCUCCUUCCUCUCCUUCCUCUUCGGGUGAAUCAAAUACCACCCGGGCCUGAGUCACUGGUGGCACAUUCCUGGCCACCUGCCACACCUCUGAGCAUGUCAGCUGAGCUUCAGCUCUGGGGAAAUGGCCAGAUCCAAGGUCCGGGGCAGGAAGAAGGCUGGGUCAGUGCUUUUGCAUGCGUCCAGGACCACCCGCCUCUGAGGCCCCUCUCUGCAGGUUUGUUUUUUUUUUUUUUUCUAUUUUUCGGAGCUGGGGACCGAACCCAAGGCCUUGCGAUUGCUAGGCAAGCGCUCUACCACUGAGCUAAAUCCCCAACCCUCUGCAGGUACUUUUAAAGGGCCAGGCCAUGUCUGCAGUUCAGCAGAGGUGCCUCUUGUGUUUAGUCCCGGCACUAGCAACUCCAUGAGCAAGAGAGUGACAGAGACCCGAAGAGCUCUAGAGUUCAUGGGUGGCAGAGACUUGCUUGGACCCAUCUUUGCUUCCCUAUGCCACUCAAGUGAGGCUGCUGGGUACAGGAAGGGAAGACUCCUGAGCAGAUCCAGUUCAACAGCUCUGUGUGCUAAUAAUAAAUAGCCUGGGUCUUAGAGAUGGAAAUUGGUACCACAUCCCAGUGUAACAUCCGUUGUGUCUCUGUUUUCCAGCCCUAAUGUGGAAAAAUGUAGUAUUGGGCAUGAGUUCAAAUCACAGACUUUGGGCAGGUGAAUUCUUGUGCCUUAUGUUCCUAGCCUGUAACAUAGGAGUGAUGGGAUGCGGAUUCCUUGACCAUCUCUCCCUUGGUAUGAACCCAGAUGUAAUACCAUCUCUUCCCUUGUGUGAAUACUCAUGGUAAAGGAUGAGGUCACAGGGCCUAGGGUUCUGACAUGACAGAGCCAUGCAGUCAUUGGGACCUGAGGAUGGUUCUCUUAUGCCAACAGGUUUCCUAAGGAUCCUGGGAAUGCAGAGUUGUAUCUAGGGGUACAGACUACCCCUCAAUUCUUGUACUCCCUCAAGUGCCUGGACUCCCUGAGAAUCUGUGAAGUACAAGUAUGAAGUGAGCAUGUGAACAGCACUUGGCACUCAGGAGGACACCCAGGAGACAGCACCUUACUGUAGAUCCCUUCCCUUAAGAGCAAGAUCCAGAACUAGGGCCCGAGGGUUCAGCCCAGUGGUAGAACUUUUGCCCAGCAUGCACACAGCUCUGGGUUUCAACCCUAGCACCAACGAAAAAAAGAAAAAGCCAGUGGCUCCUGGCACAUUUUAGACUCUGGUUUACGGGCAAUUGCCUGGGUGGUAACAUGAGCUGUCUGCAUGUCCUGACUGAGGAGCAGAAGGUAGAACAGGACAGCUACAUGCCUGCGACUGCAAACAAAGGAUACCAACACCUAACUGUCUUGGGUGUUUUCAAGGUCAGUCUCCAGGUUACAGGACUGAAGAGGGCCAGGAUUCAAACCCAGGUGUGUCUAAAUCUGAUGUCUCCUAAGCCAGCCAGCCAGCCCGAGUGCCCAGGCGAUAAUCUCACCCUUCUCUGUUGUGCAGUUUCUAAAGCUGUAUUUUCUAGAGCUGCAGUUUGCUCACACACGCCAAUGUCAGCAUGUACUCCCAGCCUUUCCGUCACCCCAAGCUGUUUCUUAGGGUUCUUGCCAGCAGGGGAGCAGAGAAGGCAGCAUGGGGCCCCAGGAGCUUCCUGAAGCUCUCUAGUGUUGGGCACCAAGUGGCUUGGCUUCUAGGAACUUCUUGCUGCCUCACUACAGGAGGAGGGGUGUGCCAGAACUGUAGGAACUGCUUCCCCUGCACGUGGUCCUCAGCUCCUAGCUGGAGCCAAACACUGUUGGGCUGCCACGUUGGCCCUCCUGGCCUGCAGCCCCUGGAUGGAUGCCUUGGCUAGUCCCUGGGGUGGGCCCCUCCCCAGGCAGCUGUGCUGUUCUCUUCGGGAAAGCACUGGCAGAUAUUGUCGAUUUAAAUUGUUUCCUUAUUAUACUCUCAUUUAGGGCUGGGGCUGCCUCUCAUCAGCCUAGACUCCAGAUUGUAUCACUAGGACCGCUUGUACAAGGAGCCAGGGAAAGCUUGGUAUUCAGGCUGUGCUGGGCAAAGCCAGGGAGGGGCAGGUGGACAGCAGGGGUGGGCACCAAGUGAUGGAACCUGUUCUGGCACCUGUGGGCAGAAUAGUCUGAGGACUAAGUCUCUCAGGACUCAGGAAUACAUGGGACCGGGAGGUUCCUGGAGUCCCUAUAAAUGUCUGUACCAGAGGUACCUGAAAGAUGGAUUGAAGAGUGGUUGCCAAGGCCCCUGACAGAGCAUCUCAACUGGAACUGAUUGGGUUAAGUCCCAAAACAGCUUGUCACAUCUGGAGUUGUUCUACUCUGUUGAUAGGGUGCAGCUCAAUGUGCACAGUGCACAGGACAGCUCUCACAAAGGAAAUCCCUGUCCUGCAGAGCCCGGGGUCCUGGCAGAACUGCUGGUGGUCUUAUUGGUAGCAGGCUAGUAGACGUGUGUGCUCACUUGUGUCUGGAAAUGCCUGUCGUGCUGGGCCUCACCUUUCUCUGCUCAGAGGAUUUGAGUGCCUAACUCUGCCAGUCUAAUGCCCCUACUGAGUAUGCCGAUGAUGACAUAUACUGGUGUGUGUGUGUGUGUGUGUGUGUGUGUGUGUGUGUGUGUGUAUCAGAGGAAUAGAACUCAGGUUGCUAGGCUUGUGCACCAAGUGCCUUUUCCCGGUAAGCCUUUUAGCUGACACCUAGUACUCAAAGGGAAGUGUUUUAGGUGGCCUUAAGGUCACCCUAGAGCCUUUUCACAGGGACUGCGCUGCCAUAUUAUUCCCUGAGGCUCACUUUUCCCUGUUUUCUGCUCCUGUAGUAACUGCCAGUCCUGCUUGUACCUUAGUGCUAACUCUGGGUAGAGUCCCCUGGGCUUCUUGGUUCCUAGCAACCCAUGGCUGGGAGGGAGCUCCCAUGGCAGCUUGUCACCUCUGUGGUGGAGACCCAGGGCCACCAAGACUCUAGGACUCUUGCACCUUGUAAGCAGUGACGCUGCUAGGCACAGUAACUGUUGCAGGGAGCUCAUUCAUGGGGACCAUGAAGCCCAACUCUGGGGGACUCCGGUGGGAACAUUUCUGUCAGAGAAACUGUUGGAAGUAGCUCACUUCAGCCUGAACUGCAGCCCUCCCCACGCUCUGGAACCUCUUUAGUCUUGUUUGUUGUAGACCAGGCAGGCAGUAGAGUGGCCUUUCGUAUCUGAUUACCUUCCUCAUUUAUCUGGAAACUGAAAUGACAUAGUGAACUGGGGCUGCUGAAGGGAGACCUGGUGUUCUGUGACUUUGUUCCACCUUCCAGGACCUCAGUGUCUUUAUAUGUAAAACAGGGUGGUGUUCAUACAGGCCUCAGGGCCGAGAGUUCUUUCAGUCCUGUGUUUGAACCAUGAAUCCCACAGAAAGAGCUCAUGGUAUGGGUGAUGCUUUAAUGCACUAGAAGGGCCAGACAACGGAUUAGAGAUCCCAGUCUGCCAGCUCUGUCCUGAGCUUUUAGGGAGAGGCCAUGGUAACAGACAGAUGUGGCUCCCAUUAGCAUGUGGCUCUGUAGGCACAGGGUGGAUGGUCUUCUCUAUGUUCCACUUGAGCUGAGCAGUGAGAGAGGAGUCGCCAUGACAGCACGGUGCAGUGGGCAUGCCUUCCAGGCUUCCUUGUGUUGUUCUAUUGCUGGAGGCUUUUCUUUCAUCUUUACCUGGCUGACCUCAACUUGGCAGUGCUGGCUCUGGCAUCAGUGCCCCAGACAUCUGUCCUACUAGGUAGAGUGUUCUCGCAACCCGCCUUCAGAGAUCCUGGCAGCUGCCAGUUAAUUCUUGUGUAACAUCUUUCCCACUUUGCUUCAGGACACCUCGGGAGGCUCCCUCCACGCUUGGAGCCUGAGCUGGCGCCUGCAGCCAUUCUCCAUGGAUACCUCCUCACAGAGGUCUGCUUGACAGUUGGGUAUAGGUCCAAGAGUCUUGCUAAACCAGUCUGCAUGGCUGCAUGGGGUAGGCAGAGCCAGUCAGGGAGACACAUACUGGGAGACUCCUCUUAGAUCUAGAAAAGACCCAGAAGGUCUGAAGCGUCUGAGCCCACUGUUUUGUGAGGCACUUACUCUAUUUUAGGACAGUUCAAAAAUAACUACAUUCUGGCCACAGAGGCCACAGUGGGUAAAGGGCUUGCCCUGUUUCACUGAGAUUUGCACGUCUAAUUGUAUAUCUUAAAGCUAAAAGCAAAACCUGUCUCUUUAAUUACCUGUCCCUGGCAGUGACAACAGGGAUGCACACCCUAAAACCCCAAGCUGGGAGAGCUGACUGCCAGCCUUCCAGCCCUGAUAGCGGUUGCCCACAUCACUCGGUUUGUCCCCACUUGGCAGUGCCAAGGGGAAGGGUGGACCCUGACCUUGAGUCAGAUACUCAAAUCCCUUUGCUUGUAACCACCCAUCCUAACUUCAUUCCCUUUCCUUUAAAGUUAAAAUGUUAAUUAGGAGAACUACUCUUAGACAAAAACAACACCUCACUGCAGUUUGUCAGGCUUGACUUUGAGCUAUCCCCUUCCUUCUGGCCAGUGUCCCUUCAUAUCAGUACAAAUAGGCCAGGUGUCCAGUGAGCUGCCAGUUCAGGGUUCUGGUCUUCUUAGGGCUGGGAUGAUCUCUUUGAGGCUUGAUUUUUGCCAGAUGACUUGUCCCCAGCUUAAAAAAAAAAAGACCUUUCCUGGCCACCUUUCCCUCACAUCUGGGGGAUGUGACUGACCCCUGCCCACCUCCUCUCAUUUCCUUUUUACCACCUAGGACAUGCACUGCCUAGACUGAACAUGCUUCUUACCUACUGCCAGAGUAGUGGCCCCUCAAGAGCAGGGAUUUCUGUCUGUUUCGUGUACUUAGUACUCAUUUCUCCAUCCAGAAUUUUACAAGUGCCUAGCACACUGAGGACUUGAAGUGAAUCCACUCUGGUAAUUCCUAAACCCAACCUGGCCGGCUCUUGCACCAGGGCUACCGUUUUGACAACCUCAGUCCUGCCUCUAGGUCUGAGUUCUUGUCUAUCUCAGCUUUGCUCUGUCUGGAACCUCACUGUUCCUUGACAGGGGCUGGUGUGGUGAAACAGCUCAUCCUGAAGGCCCUAGGCCUUGGCCUCUCUAGAACUUGGGUGCUUUGCAGCAUUCCUAACCUUCAUGGAAGCAGCCACCUUGUGUUGAAGACUUGUGGGGUGAGGAUAUGGCAGGUGCUCAGAAGUGACCACUUGUCUAACGUUUAUUACACCCUUACUGAGGGCCUGGGGUCAGAGCUGGUAGGGCUGCCUGCUGUGCUUCUCCUCAAAGGUGGGGACAUGUAAUACUGAUUGUUCAGAGCCUUUAGGCAUCAGGAGGGUGGCCAGGUCUAAUGCCAGAAACCCUGCCCUGCUCAACUUCCUGUCACCUGAGAGCCUGGGAAGGAAGGCUUCACGUGAUUUGCUCUCCCUGGCACAGCUGGCAGGGUGGGCAGGGCUGACCGGAACCAUAUUUGAGCCUCGGGCUUCUUAGCUGGUAUACCCAAGACAGACCCAAAGGAGGGCGGGCAGUCUGCUACAGCCUUUGUUCCCAGACUCUAACCCUAAUUCUCUGGGUGUUUCAAGUGUCUCAACCUUCCUGCUUCUGCAGGUCUCAAGCAUCUGCUCCUACUCCUAGAGGUGUGUGUGUGUGUAUGUGUGUGUGUGUGUGUGUGUGUGUGUGUGUGUGUGUGUGGUGUGUGUGUGUGUGUGUGUGUGUGGUGUGUGUGUGUGUGUGGUGUGUGUUUGUGUGUUGGGGGGAGCUUUGGGUUCAUACAGAGUGGUUCCCAGUCCUCUUUUAUGCACAGGCCUCAGUUGCUCAAGAGUGACUCCUCUGCCCUUCCACUCUGCCUAUGUGCCUGCUCUCUGCUUCCAGCACAUCCACGGGGCAAGGCAGCCAUGAGCAGACAGACAUCUGAUUACCCGCCCCUUACUGAUGCCGUCUGCUCUCCCCACUGCACAUCCUUGUUGUUUCUGUUUACCAGGCAUAUUCUCAUGAGGGGCCUUUGCGGGUCACCCUUACCUCUCUCCACUCUGAGCUUUACUGAGGGAUCUGUCACUGCUCUAAGGCUCGUUGCUAGACACCUACCUCAAGUAGCAGCUCUACCUAAUCUCUCGCCCAACUCUCACCUUCCCUGCCCUGCCUUUCAUGUUUCUGUUUAUCAGAUGUUCCGUGCAUCUCGUGUUCUGUGCAUUCCACCUGCCGGAGGCGUGUAGUUCAGUUUGGGUUCUGUUUGUUUUGUGUUUUGGUGCUCAGUAUGGGACCCAGGGCCUUGCACGUGAUCAGCAAGUGUUCUGUCCCACAGACCGGUGCGUUUUCAGGUUCACGUGGCUGUGCACUUCUCACUGCAGUCAUCUGCAGACCAUUUUCAUUACUGCAUCAAGAGACCCACAUAUCACCUGCCACUCUUAAUUUCCCCAACUCCUGCCCCCUGGCAGCCACUAGUCUGCUUUCUGCAAUGUGUUCAAGGUUAGCAGCACUCUUGGGCGGCCAACUCAAGGUUAGUAUUAAGUGCCUCCUUUCAUUACUAAAGGGCACUGCACCUCAGGAGCAGGCCACAAGUAUUUUUACCCUCACCAUUGGGGUGUUUGGGUUUCUUUUGCUUUUUAACUAUUGUGCAUAGUACUGCUUGGCACAUCGAUGUGCAGGUUUUGGUGUGCGUGUAGAUUCUAUUUUUGUUGGGUGUGGACCUGGGAGUAGAAUUACUAGGUCAUAUGGUAAUAUGGAACUGCUGGCCUCACAAGCCCAAUAGGACUUCAGCUGCCAGGUUUUCCUGCUUUUUGUGCUCCUGAGCCAGUGUGGCAGCCUGGGGCUCUCACUCCGCUAGGCAGCCUGGAUAGCAGCCUGCUUUGUGAGUCUUCGCCUCAGAAUCCUGAUGGAUUCCACUGAGGUUGUGAAGCAGGCGAUGCCUGACUGCAGCCCUCUCUGACCCUCACCCCAAAGCAUAAAUCUGGCAGGUAACCCAUGUUUCUUAGGUCCCUUGGGGUGUAGGAAGGUCAUGUCUCAGCCGUCUGUGUGACUAUCCAUCCAGGUAGUAGGGUGCACUGGAUGGGGAUGCUGUCACACACUCCCUCCUUCCCAUGCCUGCCCCUUCCUGACCACCUGUUCUGCAGGGGUCGGGUGGGCGGGGACUAUGCGCUGCUGUCACUCUUGCUGAGCCCCACUCCAUAACUGGAUGGAGUUUAGAUGAGCUGCUUUCAGAGUUCCCAUCACCUAACAGCCACCUCAUUUAGAAGUGCUGGGUUGGUAAUGUGGUCUCACCCAGGGCAGGAAGGUUGGAAUCUCACCUGGAAUCAAAGAAUCUCCACUUUUCCGCAGAGUGGCUGGCUGGCAGGCUUCCUCCAGCACUGUGAACAGGCUGUGGUGACUACCAACUUGGGAAGCAGCAUGUAGCAUUAGCUGUUGUGGUUAUUGUCAUUAGAGGAACCUGGUUUAACCCAGCUGUGGGCCCAGUAGACUGGUGGGAGGUCUGGGGAGCUGGCCUAGCCUAGCCUCUUACCUGUACAGUGAGUUGAGUAAGUCUGUCCGCGGAAGACUGAUGUGAAGAUCACAUGAAGUGGGAGUAUCUGGACAGCCAAGGUCAAGGAGCGGCAACAGAGGCCCAGCAUGUCAGC